rnacentral:rRNA from 1 species
UACGAAGGGGGCUAGCGUUGUUCGGAAUUACUGGGCGUAAAGCGCACGUAGGCGGAUACUUAAGUCAGGGGUGAAAUCCCGGGGCUCAACCCCGGAACUGCCUUUGAUACUGGGUAUCUCGAGUCCGGAAGAGGUGAGUGGAAUUCCGAGUGUAGAGGUGAAAUGCGCAGAUAUCGGGAGGAACACCAGUAGCGAAGGCGACACUCUGGGCCGGUACUGACGCUGAGGAGCGAAAGCGUGGGGAGCAAACAGG